rnacentral:rRNA from 1 species
AUACAUAGGGGGCAAGCGUUAUCCGGAAUUAUUGGGCGUAAAGCGUGCGUAGGCGGUUUAUUAAGUCUGAUGUUAAAUCCCACAGCUCAACUGUGGGCUGCCAUUGGAAACUGGUAGACUUGAGUGCGGUAGAGGUAAGUGGAAUUCCAAGUGGAGCGGGGGAAUGCGUAGAUAUUUGGAGGAACACCAGUGGCGAAGGCGGCUUACUGGGCCGUUACUGACGCUGAGGCACGAAAGCGUGGGGAGCAAACAGGUUUAGAUACCCUGGUAGUCCGCGCAGUAAACGAUGCGCACCAGGUGUCGGGCGGCAGCGCCCGGUACCGGAGCAAACGCGAUGAGUGCGCCGCCUGGGGAGUAUGCCCGCAAGGGUGAAACUUAAAGGAAUUGACGGGG